GACAGCAGCCGCGCGGUAAUACAGAGGGUGCGAGCGUUAAUCGGAUUUACUGGGCGUAAAGCGUGCGUAGGCGGCUUCUUAAGUCGGAUGUGAAAUCCCUGAGCUUAACUUAGGAAUUGCAUUCGAUACUGGGAAGCUAGAGUAUGGGAGAGGAUGGUAGAAUUCCAGGUGUAGCGGUGAAAUGCGUAGAGAUCUGGAGGAAUACCGAUGGCGAAGGCAGCCAUCUGGCCUAAUACUGACGCUGAGGUACGAAAGCAUGGGGAGCAAACAGGAUUAGAUACCCCAGUAGUCCCUGUCUCUUAUACA
rnacentral:rRNA from 1 species